AGGGUUUGAUCAUGGCUCAGAGCGAACGUUAGCGGCGGGCUUAACACAUGCAAGUCGAACGCGAAAGCCCUUCGGGGUUAGUAGAGUGGCGCACGGGUGAGUAACACGUAGGCAACCUGCCCUCAGGAAGGGGACAACUACCCGAAAGGGUAGCUAAUACCGUAUAAGACCACGGUGGCUGCGGCCGCUGGGGUAAAAGCUGGCCUCUACUUGUAAGCUAGCGCCUGAGGAUGGGCCUGCGGACCAUCAGCUAGUUGGUGGGGUAAUGGCCUACCAAGGCUAAGACGGUUAGCUGGUCUGAGAGGAUGAUCAGCCACACUGGCACUGAAACACGGGCCAGACUCCUACGGGAGGCAGCAGUGGGGAAUAUUGGACAAUGGGCGAAAGCCUGAUCCAGCCACGCCGCGUGAGUGAUGAAGGCCUUCGGGUUGUAAAGCUCUGUGGGGAGGGACGAAAAAGGUGGGUAAUAACAAGAUCCGCCCUUGACGGUACCUCCAUAGCAAGCACCGGCUAACUCUGUGCCAGCAGCCGCGGUAAGACAGAGGGUGCGAACGUUGCUCGGAAUUACUGGGCGUAAAGCGCGUGUAGGCGGGUGAUCAAGUCGGAUGUGAAAUCCCCAGGCUCAACCUGGGAACUGCAUUCGAAACUGGUCGCCUUGAGUGCUGGAGAGGGAAGCGGAAUUCCUGGUGUAGAGGUGAAAUUCGUAGAUAUCAGGAGGAACACCGGUGGCGAAGGCGGCUUCCUGGACAGUUACUGACGCUGAGACGCGAAAGCGUGGGGAGCAAACAGGAUUAGAUACCCUGGUAGUCCACGCCGUAAACGAUGAGUGCUAGGUGUCUCGGGUAUUGACCCCUGAGGUGCCGUAGCUAACGCGUUAAGCACUCCGCCUGGGAACUACGGCCGCAAGG
rnacentral:rRNA from 1 species